UACGUAGGGUGCGAGCGUUAAUCGGAAUUACUGGGCGUAAAGGGUGCGUAGGCGGCGCGGAAAGUUGGGUGUGAAAUCCCUCGGCUCAACCGAGGAACUGCGCCCAAUACUACCGUGCUCGAGGGAGAUAGAGGUGAGCGGAACUUAGGGUGGAGCGGUGAAAUGCGUUGAUAUCCUAAGGAACACCGGUGGCGAAGGCGGGUCUCUGGGCCGUAACUGACGCUGAGGAGCGAAAGCAUGGGGAGCAAACGGG
rnacentral:rRNA from 1 species